rnacentral:rRNA from 1 species
ACCGUGGUAAUUCUAGAGCUAAUACAUGCUAAAAACCCCGACUUCGGAAGGGGUGUAUUUAUUAGAUAAAAAACCAAUGCCCUCUGGGCUCUUUGGUGAUUCAUAAUAACUUAACGAAUCGCAUGGCCUUGCGCCGGCGAUGGUUCAUUCAAAUUUCUGCCCUAUCAACUUUCGAUUGUAAGAUAGAGGCUUACAAUGGUAUUAACGGGUAACGGGGAAUUAGGGUUCUAUUCCGGAGAGGGAGCCUGAGAAACGGCUACCACAUCCAAGGAAGGCAGCAGGCGCGCAAAUUACCCAAUGCUAAUUCAGCGAGGUAGUGACAAUAAAUACUGAUACGGGGCUCUUUCGGGUCUCGUAAUUGGAAUGAGUACAAUCUAAAUCCCUUAACGAGGAACAAUUGGAGGGCAAGUCUGGUGCCAGCAGCCGCGGUAAUUCCAGCUCCAAUAGCGUAUAUUAAAGUUGUUGCCGUUAAAAAGCUCGUAGUUGAACCUUGGACCUGGCUGAUCUGUCCUCCUAAUCGAGCGCACGGAUUCGGUCGGGUCUUUCCUUCUGGGGAGCCCUAUGCCCUUCACUGGGUGUAGUGGGGAACCAGGACUUUUACCUUGAAAAAAUUAGAGUGUUCAAAGCAGGCCUUUGCUCGAAUACAUUAGCAUGGAAUAAUAGAAUAGGACAUCGGUUCUAUUUUGUUGGUUUCUAGGACCGCUGUAAUGAUUAAUAGGGAUAGUCGGGGGCGUCAGUAUUCAAUUGUCAGAGGUGAAAUUCUUGGAUUUAUUGAAGACUAACUACUGCGAAAGCAUUCGCCAAGGAUGUUUUCAUUAAUCAGUGAACGAAAGUUAGGGGAUCGAAGACGAUCAGAUACCGUCGUAGUCUUAACCAUAAACUAUGCCGACUAGGGAUCGGACGGUGGUUUUUUUAUGCCCCGUUCGGCACCUUACGAGAAAUCAAAGUUUUUGGGCUCGGGGGGGAGUAUGGUCGCAAGGCUGAAACUUAAAGAAAUUGACGGAAGGGCACCACCAGGCGUGGAGCCUGCGGCUUAAUUUGACCCAACACGGGGAAACUCACCAGGUCCAGACAUGCUUAGGAUUGACAGAUUGAUAGCUCUUUCUUGAUUGUAUGGGUGGUGGUGCAUGGCCGUUCUUAGUUGGUGGAGUGAUUUGUCUGCUUAAUUGCGAUAACGAACGAGACCUUGACCUGCUAAAUAGCCAGGUUGACUUUCA